UUUAAUCUCGGAUUUUCUGUUAAUAUGCCGAUUUCGACGUAUUAAGAUAAUCCGAGAUUUUCAAAUACACAGCCAAAUCAAAAAUUGCCCUCACACACACAUAUGCACGUCCAGCAAAUGUCAUAUUUUUCAGUUUGUUUUGUUUCCAACUCCGGCUUCCUCAAUCAACUCAAGUGAUAAAUUUGAAUAUUUUUAAAUAAUCAACCUUUAUUAUAAUAUAGUAAAAAAUGGUCUUAAUCAGUGAACUUGAACACAUAGCUAGGAGGCGUUUUUUUUCGGAAACAACAGCAGUAAUCAGAAACAGCAGGAACGUAUGCGGUGCUGCAGGACUAGGAUUAUAACUGGUGCUGCUGGUGUUAUCCUGGGUUUACCUCAAUGAUAAAUGGUUCAACGGUUGAACCAUGCUGCUUAACAUGUUGUGUGAUGUGAAACUUGUUGAUUGAGUGAUAAAUGUUAUUGUAAUUUUAAUGAUCAACGGUAAAUGUAGUUUCAAAAGCAUGAAUAUAAAAUAAUCCUUAUCAGAA